CAAGGCGACGAUCCCUAGCUGGUCUGAGAGGAUGACCAGCCACACUGGAACUGAGACACGGUCCAGACUCCUACGGGAGGCAGCAGUGGGGAAUAUUGCACAAUGGGCGCAAGCCUGAUGCAGCCAUGCCGCGUGUAUGAAGAAGGCCUUCGGGUUGUAAAGUACUUUCAGCGGGGAGGAAGGUGUUGUGGUUAAUAACCGCAGCAAUUGACGUUACCCGCAGAAGAAGCACCGGCUAACUCCGUGCCAGCAGCCGCGGUAAUACGGAGGGUGCAAGCGUUAAUCGGAAUUACUGGGCGUAAAGCGCACGCAGGCGGUCUGUCAAGUCGGAUGUGAAAUCCCCGGGCUCAACCUGGGAACUGCAUUCGAAACUGGCAGGCUUGAGUCUUGUAGAGGGGGGUAGAAUUCCAGGUGUAGCGGUGAAAUGCGUAGAGAUCUGGAGGAAUACCGGUGGCGAAGGC
rnacentral:rRNA from 3 species